rnacentral:tRNA from 1 species
GACCCCGUAGCUCAGUGGUAGAGCGUGAGAUUCCAGUACGUUGGAGUUUCCUCAAGGUCAUCCGUUCAAUCCGGGUCGGGGUCA